rnacentral:rRNA from 1 species
UGGGGAAUUUUCCGCAAUGGGCGAAAGCCUGACGGAGCAAUACCGCGUGAGGGAGGAAGGCUCUUGGGUUGUAAACCUCUUUUCUCAGGGAAGAAGAUCUGACGGUACCUGAGGAAUAAGCAUCGGCUAACUCCGUGCCAGCAGCCGCGGUAAUACGGAGGAUGCAAGCGUUAUCCGGAAUUAUUGGGCGUAAAGCGUCCGCAGGUGGUUACUCAAGUCUGCUGUCAAAUACUAGAGCUUAACUCUGGAAGGGCAGUGGAAACUGAGAAACUAGAGUCCGGUAGGGGUAGCGGGAAUUCCCAGUGUAGCGGUGAAAUGCGUAGAUAUUGGGAAGAACAUCGGUGGCGAAAGCGCGCUACUGGGCCGGAACUGACACUCAGGGACG